rnacentral:misc_RNA from 1 species
GCCUGUUCGAGCGUCAUUAUGACCACUCAAGCCUAGCUUGGUGUUGGGGUUCGCGUGCUCGCGGCCCUUAAAAUCAGUGGCGGUGCCGUUUGGCUCUAAGCGUAGUAAUACUCUCGCUAUUGGGUCCGGGCGGUCACUUGCCAGAAUCCCCCAUUUUUAAGGUUGACCUCGGAUCAGGUAGGGAUACCCGCUGAACUUAA